rnacentral:rRNA from 1 species
AUGGCGGCAACCUACUGCGCCUACCCCGCCGCCUCCGCCGCCGCCGCAAACCCUACCAGACGCCACCUGCAAACCCUAACCGCGCCGGGCGCCCUACCUGCUGCUCGGAAACCCAGCCGCCAAGCCCCCACCUUCCUCUCUUUCCGGCGCCCCAAUGCAGCGCUGCGGCCGCUCCGCGUCGCUGGCGCUGACCCGCAGAUUGUAAAUGGGGAAGAUUUCCCUCCUAUGAAUGACCUAAUUCGACUGUACAAGAAAGCCUUUCUAGAUGGAAACGAUGAUGUUGUUAGUGACAUCGAGAAGGCAAUCACUAGCAUGGAGGAAGAGAGAAGUAAAGCAGCUUCUCAGCUUGAAAGUAUUACAGCUGAAAUAGCUUCAGGGAAGAAUAAGUUUCUUCGCUUAAAUGCUGAUCUAGAGAAUUUCCGGAAACAGGCUGAAAAGGACCGUGCAAAGUUUACAUCUAAUAUACAAGUGGAACUUGUACAGAAUCUGUUGCCUCUGGUUGAUAGCUUUGAGAAAACAAAUGUAGAGGUCACCCUAGAGACUGAGAAAGAGCAGAAAAUCAGCACAAGCUAUCAAGGCAUAUACAAGCAAUUAGUAGAAACACUGAAAAGCUUAGGUGUAGGGGUUGUGGAAACUGUUGGCAAGCCAUUUGAUCCAGUGGUUCACGAGGCUAUCGCGCGUGAAGAAUCCACAGAGUUUAAGGCUGGGAUCGUCUCACACGAAGUUCACCGAGGGUUCCUUCUGAGGGAGAGGGUGCUAAGGCCUGCUGCGGUGAAGGUCUCUACCGGUCCUGGUGACCAAAUUGCGGGCGCCACAUCUUCGGAGGAGCCCGUGGAGGAUACCAAAGAGGAUGCUGCUGUGUGA